rnacentral:rRNA from 1 species
GAUGAACGCUAGCUACAGGCUUAACACAUGCAAGUCGAGGGGAAACGAUAUUGGAAGCUUGCUUCCGAUAGGCGUCGACCGGCGCACGGGUGAGUAACGCGUAUCCAACCUGCCCAUCACUUGGGGAUAACCUUGCGAAAGUAAGACUAAUACCCAAUGACGUCUCUAGAAGACAUCUGAAAGAGAUUAAAAGAUUUAUCGGUGAUGGAUGGGGAUGCGUCUGAUUAGCUUGUUGGCGGGGUAACGGCCCACCAAGGCGACGAUCAGUAGGGGUUCUGAGAGGAAGGUCCCCCACAUUGGAACUGAGACACGGUCCAAACUCCUACGGGAGGCAGCAGUGAGGAAUAUUGGUCAAUGGACGAGAGUCUGAACCAGCCAAGUAGCGUGCAGGAUGACGGCCCUAUGGGUUGUAAACUGCUUUUAUAAGGGAAUAAAGUGAGUCUCGUGAGACUUUUUGCAUGUACCUUAUGAAUAAGGACCGGCUAAUUCCGUGCCAGCAG